ensembl:snRNA U2 U2 spliceosomal RNA
AUUGCUUCUUGGCCUUUUGGCUAAGACCAAGUGUCAUAUCUGUUCUUAUCAAGAUAAGAAGCCAAAAUAAGUAAAGGAACCCAGGCAUGGUGGUGGCUGACACCUAUAAUCCCAACACUUUGGGAAGCACCAAAA